AGAGUUUGAUCCUGGCUCAGAUUGAACGCUGGCGGCAGGCCUAACACAUGCAAGUCGAACGGUAGCACAGAGAGCUUGCUCUCGGGUGACGAGUGGCGGACGGGUGAGUAAUGUCUGGGAAACUGCCUGAUGGAGGGGGAUAACUACUGGAAACGGUAGCUAAUACCGCAUAACGUCGCAAGACCAAAGAGGGGGACCUUCGGGCCUCUUGCCAUCAGAUGUGCCCAGAUGGGAUUAGCUAGUAGGUGGGGUAACGGCUCACCUAGGCGACGAUCCCUAGCUGGUCUGAGAGGAUGACCAGCCACACUGGAACUGAGACACGGUCCAGACUCCUACGGGAGGCAGCAGUGGGGAAUAUUGCACAAUGGGCGCAAGCCUGAUGCAGCCAUGCCGCGUGUAUGAAGAAGGCCUUCGGGUUGUAAAUACUUUCAGCGGGGAGGAAGGUGUUGCGGUUAAUAACCGCAGCAAUUGACGUUACCCGCAGAAGAAGCACCGGCUAACUCCGUGCCAGCAGCCGCGGUAAUACGGAGGGUGCAAGCGUUAAUCGGAAUUACUGGGCGUAAAGCGCACGCAGGCGGUCUGUCAAGUCGGAUGUGAAAUCCCCGGGCUCAACCUGGGAACUGCAUUCGAAACUGGCAGGCUAGAGUCUUGUAGAGGGGGGUAGAAUUCCAGGUGUAGCGGUGAAAUGCGUAGAGAUCUGGAGGAAUACCGGUGGCGAAGGCGGCCCCCUGGACAAAGACUGACGCUCAGGUGCGAAAGCGUGGGGAGCAAACAGGAUUAGAUACCCUGGUAGUCACGCCGUAAACGAUGUCGACUUGGAGGUUGUGCCCUUGAGGCGUGGCUUCCGGAGCUAACGCGUUAAGUCGACCGCCUGGGGAGUACGGCCGCAAGGUUAAAACUCAAAUGAAUUGACGGGGGCCCGCACAAGCGGUGGAGCAUGUGGUUUAAUUCGAUGCAACGCGAAGAACCUUACCUACUCUUGACAUCCAGAGAACUUUCCAGAGAUGGAUUGGUGCCUUCGGGAACUCUGAGACAGGUGCUGCAUGGCUGUCGUCAGCUCGUGUUGUGAAAUGUUGGGUUAAGUCCCGCAACGAGCGCAACCCUUAUCCUUUGUUGCCAGCGGUCCGGCCGGGAACUCAAAGGAGACUGCCAGUGAUAAACUGGAGGAAGGUGGGGAUGACGUCAAGUCAUCAUGGCCCUUACGAGUAGGGCUACACACGUGCUACAAUGGCGCAUACAAAGAGAAGCGAACUCGCGAGAGCAAGCGGACCUCAUAAAGUGCGUCGUAGUCCGGAUUGGAGUCUGCAACUCGACUCCAUGAAGUCGGAAUCGCUAGUAAUCGUAGAUCAGAAUGCUACGGUGAAUACGUUCCCGGGCCUUGUACACACCGCCCGUCACACCAUGGGAGUGGGUUGCAAAAGAAGUAGGUAGCUUAACCUUCGGGAGGGCGCUUACCACUUUGUGAUUCAUGACUGGGGUGAAGUCGUAACUAAGGUAACC
rnacentral:rRNA from 1 species